CCUACGGGAGGCUGCAGUGGGGGAUAUUGCACAAUGGGGGAAACCCUGAUGCAGCGACGCCGCGUGGGUGAAGAAGCGCCUCGGCGCGUAAAGCCCUGUCAGCAGGGAAGAAAAUGACGGUACCUGAAGAAGAAUCCCCGUCUAACUACGUGCCAGCAGCCGCGGUAAUACGUAGGGGGCAAGCGUUAUCCGGAUUUACUGGGUGUAAAGGGGGCGCAGACGGCGAUGCAAGCCAGGAGUGAAUGCCCGGGGCCCAACCCCGGGACUGCUCUUGGAACUGCGUGGCUAGAGUGCAGGAGGGGUAGGCGGAAUUCCUGGUGUAGCGGUGAAAUGCGUAGAUAUCAGGAAGAACACCGGUGGCGAAGGCGGCCUGCUGGACUGCAACUGACGUUGAGGCCCGAAAGCGUGGGGAGCAAACAGGAUUAGAUACCCUUGUAGUC
rnacentral:rRNA from 1 species